ACGAGGUGAGUAACACGUGGGUGAUCUGCCCUGCACUUCGGGAUAAGCCUGGGAAACUGGGUCUAAUACCGGAUAGGAGCCAUUUUUAGUGUGAUGGUUGGAAAGUUUUUUCGGUGUAGGAUGAGCUCGCGGCCUAUCAGCUUGUUGGUGGGGUAAUGGCCUACCAAGGCGGCGACGGGUAGCCGGCCUGAGAGGGUGGACGGCCACAUUGGGACUGAGAUACGGCCCAG
rnacentral:rRNA from 1 species